CCUGGGGCCGCAUGUCCCGGCGCAGGCCGGCUGUCCUCUCUGCAGGCUCCCGCGGCCUCGGGAGCGCUGUUCUUCCGUCUCUGCCGCUGAGUAUGCCGCGCCGCGGUCACCUGACCAAGUCGGACUUGGAAACCGGCCACCCUUCCCCCUCUGGGGCGGGAGUGGCCACUCUCCCGGGCGUUCCGAAUGACCUCAGGAGGGCUGCAUCGCUCAGCAUAACUAAGGCCAGCAUUACCCCAAAGCCAGCUGGGACGGCUUUGCUAAGGCUCUGUCCUCUUGAGGGGAAAAUAUGAGUCUGAGUCAGGGCCUUGUGGCCAGCGCCUCUGCCCUCAAGCAGACACGACCCUGACCAAGAAACUGCCCAAGAAGACAAUGCCCCCAGCCCACCCUGGUGGCUGCUCCACACGUCCGAAGCGUGCACGAGAAGGUCAAGGCAGGAACUUCAGCCGGGUCUCGCCAUGAUGGAACAUGGAAAGCAACCUAGAUCCUUCUCGGCCUCUGUAUCAGCUCCCAAGAUCCUGCAUGUUAGAACCGUGGUUGUCAACCUUGAAUUUGUAUCAGAUGAAAUUCCAAGAGCUUCAGAUUCAGCAGUUAGGUUGGGGCCCAAGAAUUUGCGUUUCUACCCAGUUCCUACUUCUAGGAUGUUCUGAUGUUGGGCCGGGCGCGGUGGCUCACUCCUGUAAUCCCAACACUUUGGGAGGCCGAGGCGGGCGGAUCACAAGGUCAGAAGAUCGAGACCAUCCUGACUAACACGGUGAAACCCCGUCCCUACUAAAAAUACAAAAAAUUAGCGGGACGUGGUGGCGGACGCCUGUAGUCCCAGUUACUCGGGAGGCUGAGGCAGGAGAAUCGCUUGAACCCGGGAGGCAGUUACAGUGAGCAGAGACGGUGCCACUGCACUCCAGCCUGGGCUACAGAGUGAGACUCCAUCUCAAAAAAAAAAAAAAAAAGAAAGAAAACAAAAUUGUGAUGUUUCUGAUUGGUGGUCCAAACUUUCCUGAGAACCACUGCAUUGAACAAGGAGAUGAUCUGAGACAGGUGAAACCAGUGGAAUGAAUGUUUAAGAAACCUGCAAGCUUGGGAAAAAAGGCCAGCAACUUGGAAAGAUUAAUCAAAAGGAUAUUUGGGAAGCUUAUCACCUCCACCUCUUGUUUGGUUUGUUUGUUUGUUUGUUUGUUUGUUUGUUUGUUUGUUUUUGAGACAGAGUCUCGCUCUCUCGCCCAGGCUUGAGUGCAGUAACAUGAUCUAGGCUCACUGCAGCCUCUGCCUCCCGGGUUCAAGGAUUCUCCUGCCUCAGCCUCCAGAGUAGCUGGGACUACAGGCACAUGCCACUGUGCCAGACUAAUUUUUGUAUUUUUCUUUUCUUUUUUAGUAGAGACAGGGUUUCACCAUGUUGGACAAGCUGGUCUCAAACUCUUGACCUCAGGUGAUCUGCCCGCCUUGGCCUCCCAAAGUGCUAGAAUUACAGGCAUGAGCCACCAAGCCCAGCCUCUCCUCCACCUCGGAUAAGAUUAGCUGCCGAGGUGGAGCUGAUAUCUGAGCGAGGCUCUCGAGGACACAUUCUGGAUAGAUCUCCAUAUGGGAGUUGGAUGACUGCCACCAGCCAGUCUUGGCAGUCCCCAGAAUUCUUCUGAAGUGGACAGUGGAAGAAGUGAAACAUUUGCCUGGCAGCUGGCAUCAAUGCAGUCUCUCUCUGGACAUGCAGAAGAAAAGGUUCAAAAGGAACUGAACCCAAACCAGUCUUUAUUUGAUUUUAGAUGGAAUUAAAACAUUUUUGUGGGUCUCGACAAGUAUUGCCAGCACUGCACCUGCCACCCUGAUAGAGAUGGGGACUUGCUAUACUGCCCAGGCUGGAUAUGAACUCUUUGCCUCAAAGGAUCCUUCCAUCUCAGCCUCUCAAAAUACUGGGACUGCAGGUGUGAGCCACCAUGCCUGGCCUGUAUUUGGACAGUUGUUGCAGCACCAUGCUUAGCCUAUAUUUGGACAGUUUUUGCAGCAAAGAUGGAAUAAUCAUAUCUUCCCUACAGAGUUCCUGUGAGAAUUAUAAGUGAAAGCCCUUUUAAAUGAUCAAGGGUGAGCUGUGUGUGUGUGUGUGUGUGUGUGUGUGUGUGUGUGUGUGUGUGUAUCAUGACCUAGUUGCUACUAAGGCCUUUGUGCGUGUCGGUGUGCUUCUGCAGCAUGUACUCUUGGUUUUUGUUCCUCUUUUCUCUUACCUUCUUGAUUAGGUUUGUUCUCUUAUUAAAUGAUAUAAUACGUGCAAAAUGCCUGACAUAGCACCUAGAAUCGGGGUGUGUGUGUUAACAGGAGUAAUUGCCAGCGCUGUCCCUUCUUUCCCCCCAUAUCUCCAUCUCUUCUCACUGGCUAUCUAUGGUCUGUGGGUGAACCAAGGGACGUUCCUCCUUUGCCAUGAACUUUCAGAGGACUGAUGACUCCUGAGCCUGACUUACAGUCUUUUAAUUCUGGGCGAGUCACAACUUGG
rnacentral:lncRNA from 10 species